rnacentral:lncRNA from 1 species
CUUCUCUCUAGGUGAAAGGCCAGGUGCUGAGGGGCUCCAUGUGAAGCUUUCAGAUGCCCCAAAACUUCCUUCUCAGUAUGGCUCUAUGCUGGUGGGGGAGGAGUGAACUCUCACAAGGUUUAGCCACUCUGCAAUUUGGGAUUUCUCUGCAGUAUGACUUCUCAGAGGUCUGUAAUUUGGUUUUCCCACACGCUCACACCUGUGUGAUGUGUCCCUUGUGUGAAUCUUCUCAUGCUGAGUUCUGAGCAGUCCCUGAGAGGUUGCCUUCUUCCCUCCCAUGGGUGUUCUGUAACUCUGAGUAACUGAGUUGUUGUUUUUUUUUUUUUUUUAAGAGAGAGAGAGAGGGAGAGAAUUUUCUAAUAUUUAUUUUUUAGUUUUCGGCGGACACAACAUCUUUGUUUGUAUGUGGUGCUGAGGAUCGAACCCGGGCCGCAUGCAUACCAGACGAGUGCGCUACCGCUUGAGCCACAUCCCCAGCCCAAACUGAGUGCUUUUGGCUGGGCCUCUGCACGCUUUGCAGGGCAAGUGUUCCUCUGCAGUGUGAGUUGUCUGUUAUCAAGUAAGGCCUAAGCAGCUAGUGCUAGCCUACCCACCUGUUGCACUUUUGGGCUCUCUGCAUGUGUGUCCACUGGCCUUGAAUACAGUGUGCCCUACAAGUGACAGGCUUCUCUGGGUCAUUUAUUCAUAGGGCCCCUCCAAUGUGAAGGGUGUGAUAGGGAUGGGUGGAGUUCUGGCCAGUGCACCUCCCAAAUUUCUCGAAUGGUGGGGACUCUCCCCAGUAUGAAUUUCAUGAUGGGGAAUAAGAUGUGAAUUUUGAAAUUGCCUUUACACUGUUCACAUUUGUGAGGUGGCUCUCUUGUUUGAAUUCUCCAAGAGCCACUAAGGUGUGACUUGAUGGACGGUUUUUCCACUUCCUCUGUGUUCACGGGGUUUCCCUACAGUGUGAGUGAGCUGUGAUUUCUGACUAUAAGCUCCCCGUGUGCAGGGUGCCCACAGGCCUCUCCAGGAGUGACCUGGUGGUGGACAGAGUGGGAGCUUGCAGGAAGGUUAUCAGUCAUUGUGAGGAUGGCCCUAGGCCUGAGCCUAAGCAACUCCAUUUUAAAAACUCCAGUUUGAAACUUGCAGGCUCACCAGGCACACCCACAGAGCCCUCCAAUGUGGCCUCAGACAAGUCACUUCCCCUGACCCUGAUCAACAGAGUGAAGCCCCUGGCAGUCUGUCCUCGCCUGAUAAGAGGGAAGGGCGAGAAGAUGGGGUGGGGGAGACACCAGACCAGAUGUUUCUGACCCCAGGGUAAAUGAUGUCACUGAGAAAUCCAGUGGUAGCUGAUAAGGAUUGAAAGGGGGGUCAAAAGCCCCCAAAUUUAAUAUAAAUAAUAGAGCUGAUGAACGGGAUUCACUAUAGCUGGAGAGCCUGAUGAGGACCUGACACCCCACUUGUCAUCGUUCCUGAUCCUCUGCGUGAUCUUCACCGCUCUCAAACUCUACCGCCUCGUCUGGACCUUGGUGAGAGCCGCAACUUCUCUCUAGAUGAAAGGCCAGGUGCUGAGGGGCUCCAUGUGAAGCUUUCAGAUGCCCCAAAACUUCCUUCUCAGUAUGGGCCUAUGCUGGUGGGUGAGGAGUGAACUCACACCAUGAGUGAACUCACCCUCUUCUCAAUUGGUUGUCCCCUCCACACCAGGAAAAGCCUGCCUGGGUUCCAGACCUGGUCACCGCAGUCUGAGUGGGUGGGCAUCUGCUGGACAUAAAGCCUAAGACUUAGGACUUUUGAACUUAUCCUGCAGAGGGGAUGUCUGUCGUUAGCCUGUCAUGAUCAGGUGUGUUUGCAGUGCUUAGACUUAAUCUAGAAUUAUUUGCUGUGGAUUGAUUAUGUCUAUUGCAGUGCCCAGCAUUAAGGAUUGUCGUUUUCUUGAUUAAGAACCUACAGAGUGAAAUGGUAUGGAGUGAUUUGAGUGAAUAAAGCAUUGAAAGGGGCAGAAGUGCAUGGACAUUCUUUAUGUCUCCCCUCGACUGCAUACUUUGCAAUUUUGCCCCCUUGUGGUUUUCUUCCACUGAGGAUUCUUUUAUGUUCCCUGAUAUUUGAACUGAGACUAAAAUAUCUUUGCCUGAUCCCUGGCACUCUUGGGUUCUUUUCCUCUAUGAAUUUGCUGGUGUAGAGUAAUACCUGGAUUAUCUUUGAAGCUCUUCCACAUCUGCCACAACUAUGGGUCACUGUCAUUCUGUAGAACUUUUAUGACUUAAAAAAUCUUUUCGUUAUACAUGGACAUAAUAUCUCCAUUUUAUUUAUUUUUUAUUUUUAAAAAAAAUAUGUUUUUUUCUCCUCGGUGGUGGCCCUCAGUCCCAUGAGACUUACAUAUGUCAAGACGGCGCCCCCUGCCUUCGGUGCUGCAGUUUCUCUGUUCCGUAAUCAAUGUCAUUCACAGGAGCUUCUUAAGUGACAAACGAAAUGAGCCCAGGGCAUGGAAAAUAUGAUUUCUAUAUUGGUUUGGGAUUGGCUAUGACCUCCAGCAUUUUCAUAAGAGGGAGUUUCAUUUUGAAAAAAAAAAAAAGGCCUUCUGCGACUUGCCAGAAAAGGAUCCAUGAGAGCAGGUCAAGGUGGCCAUGCAUAUCUUAAAGAACGGUUGUGGUGGGCUGGACUACUGUCAAUGGGGGCAGGCGAGGUGGCCAACUUCGCUGCAUAUGCCUUUGCACCAGCCACGCUAGUGACUCCACGGGAGCUCUCAGCGUCCUCGAAAGUGCCAUUCUUUCUUCAUACUUUCUAAAUGAAAGACUUGAUCUUCAUGGGAAAAUUGGAUGUUUGCUAAGCAUUCUAGGAUCUACAGUUAUGGUCAUCCAUGCUCCAAAGGAAGAGGAGAUUGAGACGUUACAUGAAAUGUCACACAAGUUAGGUGAUCCAGGUUUUGUGGUAUUUGCAACAAUUGUGGUCAUUGUGUCUUUGAUAUUAAUCUUUGUGGUGGGACCUCGCCAUGGACAGACAAAUAUUCUUGUGUACAUAACAAUCUGCUCUGUGAUUGGAGCAUUUUCAGUGUCCUGUGCAAAGGGCUUGGGCAUCACCAUCAAAGAACUGUUAGCUGGAAAGCCUGUGGUGCGGCAUCCCCUGGCCUGGGUUCUGCCUCUGAGCCUCCUCAUCUGUGUGAGCACACAGAUCAAUUACCUAAACCGGGCCCUGGACAUAUUCAACACUUCCCUUGUAACACCAAUAUAUUACAUUUUCUUUACAAGUUAUUCUUUUUAAGGAGUGGCAAGAUAUGCCUGCUGAUGAUAUCAUUGGGACUCUGAGUGGCUUCUUCACAAUCAUUGUGGGGAUAUUCUUGUUGCAUGCCUUUAAAGAUGUCAGCUUUAGUCUAGCAAGUCUGCCUGUGUCUUUUCGAAAAGAUAAUAAAGCAAUGAAUGGCAAUCUCCCUACUAUGUAUGAAGUUCUUAAUAAUAAUGAAGAAAGCUUAACCUGUGGAAUUGAACAACACACUGGUGAGAAUAUCUCAAGGAGAAAUGGAAAUCUGACAGGUUUUUAAGGUGCGAUUUAAAGGUUAAAUUAUGUUAUAGUGAUUUUGAAUAUCAGAAUCUGUCUGAAAAAGCAUUGUCCUCAAAUAAUGUUCUCUAAAGACAAUCUUUUUUAAGUUUUCUUUUUUUUUUUUUAAUUUUAAUAUUUAUUUUUUUAGUUAUCGGCGGAUACAACAUCUUUGUUUUGUAUGUGGUGCUGAGGAUCGAACCCCGGCCACACGCAUGCCAGGCGAGCGCGCUACCGCUUGAGCCACAUCCCUAGCCCCUUAAGUUUUCACUAAUUUGGACCAAGAAGUUACUUUUCUUAUAUUUAAACAAUGGUAGCUCACUAAAAAUGGCCUCAGUAUGUGGCCAAUUUCUAUUAACAUUGUAUAAUUGUAGAGGUAUUUUACAUUUUGAUUCUUUCUUCAAAAUCUAAAUGCACUAAUGACAAGUUUUAAGUCUAUAAAAAUGCUUUAUUUUUUCAGUAUUGAUGAAAGUCUGAAAUGUACAUUUGUCAUUCCCACUCCUAUCAAUCCCUGAUCAUGUAAGGCUUUUUGAUUGUAAACAAGAACAAAACUAUCCCAAUAUAUUAUCCUCUGAUUUAUCUUACCUAUAAAAAAAUAAAUAAAAAAUAUAUUUUUAGUUGUUAAUGGACCUCUAUUUAUAUGUGGUGCUGAGAAUUGAACCCAGUGUCUCACACAUGCUAGGCAAGCACUCUGCCACUGAGCCACAACCCAGCCCUCCAUUUAGUUUAUUUAUUUUUAUGUGGUGCUGAAAAUUAAACACCAGAGCCUCACAUGUGUGAGGCAAGUGCUCUGCCACUGAGCCCCAGCCCCAGCCCCAAACUUUUGUGACGUUUUAGGGGAUAAGUUUUGACUGAAGUUUCUUCCAAAUUCAUUAAAUUGCAGGUCAUUCUUCCAGGGAGCAUUUCCUCAUGGGAUAUGGCCACUGUUCUGAAGCCUUUCUCCCAGGCAGGGCCUUCUUGAUGCUUUCCUGGAAGGUGCUCCAGCACCUCCUUGCUUCUGCCCUCCUCUGGCCUCAGCAAGAAAUCCCAAAGGAGUGCUUCUGAUGCUCCACCUGUGGCUGUCAGAAGACUCCGCUUCUUGAAAAGGUCCUUCCUUCUUGAUCCCAGUUGAUCUUCAUUGAGGAAUCUGAAAGGGAAACAUCAGGAACGAAAGAUCCCAUUCACCGUGGGGCCCUGGAUUUACAAUGAUGUCAAGGAGCCACAAGUGAGCACCAGGGGGACAGGGGAGGAGUGACCUAAGGAAGAGACCUGUUGGGAAGGACAAGGCACACCCAAAGAUCUCAGAAUUACAGGUCAGCAAGGCAGGGGAGCUAGGAGAGGAGCCUGAAAGUAACUGCGAGAAGUGUGAGAAGAUCACCAACUAACCCACCAAGUGACUCAAGACACACCCUCCCUCUGCAGCUGAUGGGCCAGAACAGCCGCCCAUACCACCGUUGGGUUGUCCCCAGCCAUGGCCAAAGCUCUCCCUGCCUCAGCCCAACCCUCGAAGGUAUGAUGCUGGCUUCCCUCUGUCCCCUCCCUGGCGCCCUGGAAUUCUUCCUUCCCAUGUUCUUCCCACAGUCUGUUCUUGCAAGUGUUGCCUCUGAAUGUUACCAACGACUGCCUUCCCCAGAGCCUGCUCUUCCUGCACACCUGGUCAGGACCCUCUCUGUGUCCACAGCCUCAGCCUGGCCUUCUCUUCUAUCCAGCUGGGACACAGUCAGGUGUGAGGCCAGGAAGCUCUGCUGGUGGAGGAGGAAAGAGCUGUGUACGCCUGCUGAGAACCAAGUCCAGGUCUGCCGGGUCCAGAGAGGGAGAGGUAUAGGCUUGGCCAGAUGAGGUGGGAGGCUCCUGGGCAAGGAAGGGUGCAGUGUCAUAUCCUGAGGGGAGGAGGGAGUGGAGGUGUGCGUGGGGUUAAGAGCAGGGCUCACCCCACCAGAUCAAACUCCCCAGUUCUCCAGCAUCACACACUUGUAGAUUCCUUCUGGUGAAGAUCUGGAUGCUUUCAUUCCUUCUGUAAAAUGCACAGCCACAGCCACAGGUGUCACUGAUCCUGAGACAGAAUCCUCUGCUACCCAAGGACCUUGCUGAUCAAGGGUCCCAGAGCUGUCUGUGCAUCCACUUGGGAUGGGUGUAGAGGGAGUUCUUUCCAGCUGUGGAAGAGUCUGUUCCAGGAAGGAGAUUCAGAAGGUACUGAAGGAAGGAGACUGAGUCCCUGCAGUCCCCAUGUGGCAGCCCCUCUACAGGUGGGAGGAGCUCCUCUGGUGACACUGUCAGAGGCAGGAAUAGGUUUACUGAUGAAAUCCUGGAGGUAACAUUAAAAGGCACUGCUAGAAGUCAAUUUUUUUUUUUUUUUGGCAGAGCUGGGGAUUGAUCCCAGGGCGUAGUGUAUGUGAGGCAAACACUCUACCAACUGACUUAUACCCCCAGCCCUAGAGGUCAAUUUUAAAACAAAAUAAAACCACCUCCUCAUUACUUACCAAGAAAAAACCCUAUGGAAUUAGUUCUUCAAGAAUUGACUGAUGGGGACAGUUUCAAGAUUUCAGACCAGAGGGAGGUAGCAUUCUGCUGCUCUGUGAUACAGAUCUCACCUAAUCAGAAUACGGCAUCUCUGAGAGUGUUAGAGGACCUAUACAGCUACUCUCUGCAGAAAUCACCAUACAGGGCUCUGGGCCUCAGUGUUCAAGAAGGACCCAAAGCCCAAAGUUCCAGUUCACGCAAGACUCAGUGAGCACUUUAGCAGAAUUACCUGUCAACACAUCUGCAGAUCGCCAAGACUUCAAUCUGCUGCCACGCAGGUCACCAGCUGCUACCUACCCACAGCACAACGCCAUCGCCUGGCUCCCCCAACCUCACCAAACACCCGGGCACUGAAAGCAGACAACCACCAUCUUGGCUAAACAUUCUCACCAUAUUAGGUGGGGGCAGUUACAAGACCGGAUCUCCAGGGGCCAGUGGAUUUUCGCAGAAAUAACCAGCACUGCGACCACACACGCAGAAAUCAGAGCCUCUGGGCAGGAGUAAGUCUCUGGACUUCGGACCCAAAGCUCUCAGUUCUAGCUCAUGCAUGGCUCACAAGUGGCUUAGCAGAAACACCUAUCAGCACCUCUGUAGAACUCCAGACUGCGCGCUGCUCCCACGCAGGUCACUUGGCUGCUACCUAUCCACAGCACAAGGCCAUCAUCCAGCUUCCCCCACAUCACCAGACACCCUGGCACUGGAAGCAUACUGACUCCAUCUUGGAAAACCUUCCUUGCCAUUGUGUGGUGGGUGUGGAUCUCAGAUCGGAUUGCCAUUUGAGCAGGUACCUGAUUUCCAAUUCCUCCCCCUACCCAACAGCGUUAACUCAGACAGUGACCACCCAACACAAAAACAGCUCUCAGUUGGACAGAAGUACAGUCCGAACAGGGCGCUGCCCGCCUGUAGUGAGCCUGGGGGUGUGAAGUCCCACAGUUGGGACCUGAUAAAUAAGAGAGAGGAGGGGACUGAAGCCUGGAGCAUAAUAGAGAGAUUAGGAUUUGGGAAAUCUCCAGGUAACAGAGGAAGAGAUACCAGAGGCUUAAAUCAGUCAAGUAGUUACAAAAAAAAAAGACCCGUGAGGUGCUAUUUCCCUGCUGGGGACUGGUGGCUAGCACUCCCCACUUCCAGAUGCUCCACACCAGGUCUAGUCUUCAGACCCUGGUUACCUACACCAUCCUGAGGGCUGAGACACCCACUGGAUGAGACAACCCCACUUACUGGAUGAGAAUAGAAAGAAACGGAUCUCUAAGAGUUUUUUUUUUUUUUCCUCCUCUUCUUUCUCUUUUACCCUUCUAUACUCUGGCCCUCACAUCCCCAACAUAUGUAAAACCAAGAACGUUGCAUGAAAUAGGAUUUUGAGGACUGAGUCACCUGAAUAAUAUAAUAUAGAGGAAUUGCAUAUGCCCCUUUUCCCUCUUUUUUUCUUCUUUUUUCUUUGCUCUUUUUUCUUUCUUUCCUUUUUUCUCUUUCUUCUUCCUUCACCCUCAAAAUUAUACUAUUUUAACAUCCUGUAUUUCCCUAAAAACAUAUUUGUGUUUGUUUUGUGUACUCUACUGUCUUCCCACGUAAUUGUCUACCCCAAGUUACCUUCUAUCUAUUCUCCUGCUACUAACCCUCUUCAUUAGAUUUCUCCUUCACAUUUCCUAAGAUAUAUUAACUAUAUACCCUCAUAUCUUCUCCCCUCAACAUAUCAUCCUGUGCCUGAACCCCAGUUCAUUGUCCACCACCAGAAACUGUAAACCUUUUUAUGAAACUACUGAUUAUAUUUUAAAUAAUAAUUGAAUCCAACAUUUCUGGACAUUGAGGCUAAACUGUAAAUGUCUUAAUAACAACAAUUUGUUUAAAGGUGAUGUAUUGUUGAUAUUGGGAUCUGUUAACAUUGUCCUUCCCCACAAAGGAGAGAUCUUGGAACCCUACAAGAGCACUACAAAUCUAUAGAGUAAAAACAAUAACACACCAGAUCCACAGAACUGGAAAGGAAGACACAUGAACAACAUGAAAAGAUAAGGGAAGAAAGUGCCACAAACAAAUCAAGACAACACAUCUUUAGAAGAAUUGGCAGCUACAGCAGAAAAAACUACAGAGAAAGAUUUCAGGAUAUACAUGGUUAAAAUGUUUUGGGAUCUCAAAGAAGACAUAAGAGAACAAAUACAGGCAGUGAAAGAUCACUUUGACAAUGAGCUACAUAAACAAAUUCAAGAAGCAAAAGAUCACCUCAACAGGGCAAUAGAGUUUAUACAAAAAACCAAACAGAAAUCCUUGAAAUUAAAGAAUAAUAAACCAAAUUAAAAACUCAAAUGAAAGCAUCACAAACAGAGUAGACCACCUAGAACAUAGGACAUCAGACAAUGAAGAUCAAAUAAAUCAUCUUGAAAAGAACAUAGACCACACGGCAAAAAUGAUAAGAAACUAUGAACAGAACAUUCAAGAAAUAUGGAAUAGCAUAAAAAGACCUAAUUUAAGAGUUAUUGGGAUAGAGGCAGGCAUAGAGGUCCAAACAAAAGGAAUGAAUAAUCUGUUCAGUGAAAUAAUAUCAGAAAACUUUCCAAACAUGAAGAAUGAAUUGGAAAUCCAAAUUCAAGAAGCCUACAGGAUGCCAAAUGUACAAAAUCACAACAGACACACACCAAGGCACAUUAUAGUGAAAAUGCUCAACAUACAGAAUAAGGAGAGAAUUUUAAAAGCCACAAGAGAAAGGGAUCAGGUUACAUAUAAUCAAAUACCAAUUAGGAUAAUGACAGAUAUUCAACACAGACCCUAAAAGCUAGAAGAUCCUGGAACAACAUAUAUCAAGCUCUGAAAGAUAAUGGGUGCCAACCAAGAAUCUUAUAUCCAGCAAAAUUAAGCUUUAGAUUUGAAGAUGAAAUAAAAAUCUCCCAUGAUAAACAAAACUUAAGAGAAUUUAUAGCUAGAAAACUGUCACUACAAAACAUCCUUGGCAAAAUAUUUCACGAAGAGGAAAUGAAAAACAGCAAUAAAAAUCAGCAGAGGGAAGUAGUACACUAAAGGAAAAACUAAUCAAAGUGGAAAACCAAUUCAAAUAAAAUAACAAAAAUAAACAAAUAUGUCUGGAAAUACAAACCAUGUCUCUACACUGAAGGAAAAACUAAUCAAAGUGGAAAACCAAUUUAAGUAAAAUAACAAAAAUAAACAAAUAUGGCUAGAAAUACAAACCAUGUCUCAAUACUAACCCUAAAUGUUAAUGGCUUAAACUCACCAAUCAAAAGAAAUAGGCUAGCAGAUUGAAUUUUUUUUUAAAGACCUAACAGUAUGCUGCUUCCAGGAGACUCAUCUGAUUACCUAUCUAAAACAUACACAGACUGAAGGUGAAACGUUGGGAAAAAUCAUACCACUUACAUGGACUGCAGAAGCAAGAAGGGUUUCCAUACUCAUAUCAAAUAAAGUAGACUUCAAGCCAAGGUUAAUCAAAAGGGAUAAAGAUGGACAUUACAUACUGCUCAAGGGAACCUUACACCAACAAGACAUAACAAUCAUAAAUAUAUAUGCUCCAAACAAUAGUGCAGCUAUGUUCAUCAAACAAACUCUUCUCAAGUUCAAGAGUCAAAUCGACCACAACACAAUAAUCUUGGGUGACUUUAUUUAUUUAUUUAUUUUUUGAGAGAGAGAGAGAGAGAGAGAGAGAGAGAGAGAGAGAGAGAGAGAAUUUUUUAAUAUUUAUUUUUUAGUUUUCGGCAGACACAACAUCUUUGUAUGUGGUGCUGAGGAUUGAACCCGGACCGCACGCAUGCCAGGCGAGCGCACUACCGCUUGAGCCACAUCCCCAGCCCCUCUUGGGUGACUUUAACACACCUCUCUCACCACUGGAUAUAUCUUCCAAACAAAAGUUGAAUAAAGAAACUAUAGAACUUAAUAACACAAUCAAUAAUAAUUUAGACUUAACUGACAUAUAUAGCAUAUUUCAACCUGCAUCAAGCGGAUACACUUUCUUCUCAGCAGCACAUGGAUCCUUCUCUAAAAUAGACCAUAUACUAUGCCACAAAGCAACUCUUAGCAAAUACAAAAAAUACUUCCAUGCAUUUUAUCAGAUCAUAAUAGGAUGAAAUUGGAAAUCAAUGACAAAAUAAAAAAUAAAAAUUUCUCCAUCACCUGGAGACUAAACAAUAUGCUACUGAAUAAACAGUGGGUCACAGAAGACACUAAGGAGGAGAUUAAAAAAUUCCUAGAGGUAAAUGAGAACAUAGUCACAAUAUAUUGAAAUCUCUGGGACACUAUGAAAGCAGUACUAAGAGGAAAAUUCAUUGCAUGGAGUUCAUUCCUUAAAAGAAGAAAAAGUCAACAAAUUAAUGACCUCACACUACAUCUCAAAUCCCUAGAAUAAGAAGAAUAAACCAGCAGCAAAAGCAGUAGAAGGCAAGAAAUAAUUAAAAUUAGAGCUAAAAUCAAUGAAAUUGAAACAAAAGAAACAAUUGAAAAAAAUUGACAAAACAAAGUUAAUUCUUUGAAAAAAUAAAUAAAAUUGACAGAUCCUUAGCUAUGCUAAUGAAGAGGAGCGAGAGAAUUCAAAUUACCAGCAUACAUGAUGAAAAAGGUAAUAUCACAACAGACACUACAGAAAUACAAAGAAUAAUUAGAAAUUAUUUUGAAAUCUUAUACUGCAAUAAAAUAGAAGACAUUUAAGGCAUUGACAAAUUUCUUAAGUCAUAUGAUUUGGCCAGGUUGAGUCAGGAAGAUAUACACAAUUUAAACAGACCAAUAUCAAGUGAGGAAACAGAAGAAACCAUCAAAAGCUUACCAACCAAGAAAAGCCCAGGACUGGAUGGAUACACACCCGAGUUCUACAAGACCUUUAAAAAGAACUAAUAGCAAUACUCUUCAAUUUAUUUCAGGAAAUAGAAGAAAAGGCAGUAAUUCUAAUCUCAUUCUAUGAGGUCAAUAUUACCCUGAUCACAAAGCCAGGCAAAGACACAUCAAAGAAGGAAGCUUCAGACCAUAUCUGUAAUAAACGUAGAUGCAAAAAUUCUCAAUAAAUUUCUUGCAAAUCAAACACAAAAACAUAGAAGACAAAAACAAAACAACAACAACAAAAACAAAACAAAACAAAAAAAACUGCACGAAAAAACUUCUAGAACUAGUAAAUUAAUUCAGGAAAGUAGCAGGAUAUAAAAUCAACACCCAUAAAUCAAAGGCAUUUCUGUAUAUCAGUGACAAAGCCUCUGAGAAGGAAAUGAGGAAAACUACCCCAUUCACAAUAACCUUAAAAAAAAAAAAAGAUACUUGGGAAUCAACAAAAGAGGUGAAAGAUCUAUACAAUGAAAACUAUAGAACCCUAAAGAGAGAAAUCAAAGAAGACCUUAGAAGAUGGAAAGAUCUACCUUGCUCUUAGAUAGGCAGAAUUAAUAUUAUCAAAAUGACCAUACUACUAAAAGCACUAUACACAUUUACACAAAUUCCAAUCAAAAUCCCAAUGGCAUUCCUCAUAGAAAUAGAAAAAGAAAUCAUGAAAUUCAUCUGGAAAUAUAAGAGACCCAGAAUAGCUAAAGCAAUUCUAAGCAGGAAGUGUGAAGCAGGUGGCAUCACUAUAUCAGACCUUAAACUAUACUACAGAGCAAUAGUAAGAAAAACAGCAUGGUAUUGGAACCUGAGAAAACUCCCAUGCCCUCCCCAGCAUCUCAAAAAUACCCAAGAAAGAAGGUUCUCGGCAGGCCAGGACCAAGAGCCACGCAUGACGCUGGUUAUCCUCUUCACUAUCUUCAAUACAAAACAUUCCUCCCACACUUUUUCAUGAAAUUUUCCCCAUGAUGUUGACUUCUUUUUCUAGACAGGGUUUUGCUGUUGCUCAGGCAGGUCUUAAACUCCUAGGCUAGGGUGACCCACCCACCUCAGCCUCUUGAAUAGCUGGGAGGACAGGUGCACCAGUGUGCCCAGAUGACAUAAAAAAGUUAUUACCUAGUCAGUUCUGGGAUUCUCUGUGAGAUCUAGGUUGUCCUCUGUCCACUGUACAAGUGGCCCUCUGCCAUAGAAGAUAAAUAUUUUGGGAAAAAACCCUGCCUCUGGACUGGGUGCAGUGGUGUACGCCUGUGAUCCCAGUGGCUCAGGAGGCUGAGGCAGGAGGAUAUAAACUCAAGGCCAGGCUGGAAAAUUUAGCAAGGCCUUGUCUAAAAAAAUUAAAAGGGCUGGGGAUAUGGUUUAAUGGUUAAAUCUCUGCUACCAAAACAACAACAGAAAACAACCUGCCUCUGUACUGAAUGCAUACGGAUAUGUAUAUGUAUAUAUUUAGUUGUCUGUGGACCUUUAUUUUAUGUAUGUAUUUAUAUGCAGUGCAGAGGAUUGAACCCAGUACCUCACCUAUGCAAGGCAGCCCAGCAUACAGACCUUUUUUCCUGUCAUUAUGCCCUCACCAGUACAGUGUGCCAAGUAAUUACAUGUUUACACCAAAGCAGGUAUUGUAAGUAAUCCCAAGAUGAUUUGAAGGAAGCAGAUACCGCUCCAUUCUAUAAGAGAGGCCUGAGCAGCCACAUCUAUUGACAUCUGCAGGACUCCUGGUAUGGAGACACUGCCUUUUUUCCUCCACUGUUUAUAUAAACUUUAUAUGAAGUUUAGCUCAGUUAUUUCAAUUUGUGUUCAGGUUAGUGUUUGUUUUUCCCCUUUGAUCUUUUUAACAAAUCUACACCAAAAUACAUCCAUGAAGUUACACUUGCUUCUCCCACCAUACCCUCACCCUCACUUGUGUGCCUUCCUACACUUGUUGCCAUUUCGGUAGUUUUUGUGCUGUUCUUCCUGUGUUUGUUUAUUCUACCAGGAAAUGAACCCAGGGCGCUUAACCAGUGAGCCACAUCCCCAGGCCUCUUUUGUUUGUUUUGAGACAGGGUCUUGCUAAGUUGCUUAGUGCCUCACUAAAUUGCUGAGGCUGGCCCUGAACUGUGAUCUUCCUGCUUCAGUCUCCCAAGCUGCUGGGAUUAUAGAUGUGAGCCACCACGCCUGGACAGUGUUUAUUUUUGUAAAAGUAAAUAAAUACAUAUUCAAUUCCCCUUCCUUUUUCAGCUAGGAAGAAAUGUGUUGUGUUGAAGAACUAUUCCCUGCCUGUUGGCCUCCAGGGCAGAGCUCUGUCCCCUUCACAAGAGGACAGGGCCACCUCUGCUUAGGUCUGCUUCUGCAGGCUUUGGGAAAACAAGAUGGUGCUGCUGUGGAGGGCAGUGGCCACAAACUCCACCUGCUCCAUUUCUGCCCAGGACAAGUUCUAAGCCUCAAGCCAAGAACCCUGGUAAGCAGGUAGCCUCUUCCAGCUGGCCAGUUGCUACAGGGACAAGAGGCACUCAUACAUGUACAGAGUGGGGCACCCCUCAUCUGCUCCAACUCUCAGGUCACUCCAAGUUCUGGCUUAUGCAGAGACACUGAGGAACCCAGGUGUGUGCAAGUGAGGUUCUGGUUCACAGGGAGGCCCCACCAGGGGCCUAAGCCACUGGAAGGAUGCAGAUGCCAUUUCCUGCAUUCAGCCUGAGGGCCCAGCACUCAGCCAAAUGACUAGGAGGCUCUUUGCACCCCUGGUUGGGUCUCCCUAUGAACAAGGUUCUGUGGGCAGCCAGUCUGAAUGAUUUUGCAUUCUCCUUCCCAUAGGCAGAGAGGCUCUGACUGUCACUCUUGUAGUGAUCUGGACAUGGCCCAGGUCCCAGAGCUUUAGGAUGCAUCUUCAGAAGUAGGCCUGUUGCACCAUAAAUUGAGCUGCAUUCACCUGUUCCUUUGUGAUAUUACCCAUUUGCCUUGUUUAGGAUAGAAUGUCCCAUGGAAAUGUCCUUUGUGAGUCCCCUUCUCUUGCUCUGCCUAUGGGUGUGGUCUUCUGAGAUGUCAGUCAAUCUACUGACAGAAGACAUCAUGAAGCUAGACUCAACCCCCUGAAACCUGAUACCUUGCCUCAUUUGAAAGGCUUCUCCUCAAUAAAAGGGUUCAGUACGUGCUCACUUGCUCUCUUUCUGCAGAUCCUUAUGGUCAGUGGAACCCAAAGUAAAAGGUAUCUCUGGACUGGGAUUGUGGCUCAGCAGUAGAGUGUUCACCUGGCACAUGCAAGGCCCUGGGCUCGAUCCUCAGCACAUAAAAAUAAAUAAAUAAAAUAAAGAUAUUAUGUCCUACUACAACUAAAAAAUAAAUAUAUAUUUUUAAAAAAUGGUAUCUCUGUCUUUUGUGUGGUUAUUUCAUGCAGCCCAGUUCUGCUGGAGUGACCCUGAGUGUUUCAGUCAUGAGGAACACGACAAUUGGCACCCGAACAGGGACUCCAGGGUGAUUUUUUAGAAAUGUAGUGGGUCUGGAAUUUCUCUCCAAAAGUUAAGCAUGCUUAGAUUGCAGAGUAUUGUGGGCUGAAUUGUAGAAAGUAAGUGAAUGAGACAGAAGAAAAAUCUGUGAUGUUAAACUUUUUAAUAUUUGGGAAUAUUUUGUCUUUAGAAAGAAAAAAAAUAUUUUUAUAGUUCUAGAGACUCUAAAUAAAUGUAAAGAAUUAUUAAGAUGAUUAAUGGUCUCUCACAUGGGAAAAGUGCUUUUGUGGACUUUUUUGGAUUAUUUUGGUUAAUCUUUAUAUUUUGAAAUACUAGGUAAAGAUUUUGGGGGUUUACAUACUAGAAGUCUGCACUUGGAGAAUGAGAAAAAGGGAAAGAAAAUUUUGUGGUGAGAAUUGAUACAAGGAUUCUUUGCCUGUAGAGAAGUUAAUUUUAUUUUUUUAUUGUUUUUGUGAACACUCAGAAAGUUUAUACUGAAUCUCUUAAUUACAUUCUUGUCCUACAGAGCAGAAUGGCUGUAACUCAGCAGCUGGGGACAAAAGACUUUAGCCAUUGUUCCCCUAUGGGGUCUGUUUUUUAAGACCUACAGCCAGCAGUGCUUUUAACCCUUACACAACCUGGCCUGGGUGCCAAACACAGACUGCCUUCACUGGUGUCUGCCUCUAAAACUCACUUUUAAAGCACCCAGGUGCUGCAAGGAAAAGUACAAAAUACAAAGAACACAAGCUGCAAGCACAGGUCACAGAGACAAGGCAAGCUUCUACCCACCCAUAGGAUCCUGCCCAGGCAGGGGAAUGCAGACAAAAUCAAAAUGCAACCAGCUAGGGAAACUCAGGGAGCCUUUGCCCAGGACAAUGGGCAAUGGGCUCCAUGCUGUUUCUGUCACCAUGGUAACCGCUCUAUGCCUGUCUGGAGGAGUGGGCUUCCUGGUCUCACCUCCUGCAUUUUUGCAGGCUUCCCAUUGGUCCUUCCACUGUCACUCAGACAGGACUUCUGGUCCCACCUUCCAGCUGCUAACCUGUACUUCCUGUUUCAGACUUGCUACCUGGAGCUGCCCAGAGCCUGAAUUUUUAAGAAUGCCCACCUGUAAAUGCUACCAAAAGUUUUCUUUUUCAAGCAAAAUCUAAUUCCACAGGUUUCUAUGUUGCAGCCCUAAAUCUGAGUUAUUUUUGAGUUAAAUAAACUGGCUUUUCUCUAUGGCUGUGUUACUAAAUAAUGUUAUAUUGAUGGGAGAUAUCAAACAUACUUCUUUAUAUUUUGCUUUUAAUUUUAGAAGUUAUGGGGAUGAAUUUGCUCACCACAGCAACAAAAGCCAGCAAUAGUCCUGUGAUGAACAAAAAAUCCUUAUUCUCAUUCCUGACUAUAUAAUUACAAGAAAUAAAUAUGUAUACAUAAGGAUCUUAUUUCAGCUACAUCACGUGAUAUCACAUAUAAGAGUGCACUCCUAGUUAAAAAUAAAUUGAAAUGGAUCCAAAUAUCUCAGAACCAUGUGGUUAUAUAAAGUUACUACAAUUAUAAGUUAUGCCCUUAUUCUUAAUAUAUAUUUGCCUAGGUAUUUAAAUAACCUAUAAUUAUUAAUCAAUAAAUUAAUUAAC